rnacentral:rRNA from 1 species
AGAGAGAGACAUGCGCGCAUAUCAAUAAGCGGAGGAAAAGAAACUAACAAGGAUUCCCCUAGUAACGGCGAGUGAAGCGGGAAGAGCUCAAAUUUGAAAUCUUAAAGGGUUUCCCUUUACGAAUUGUAGUUUAAAGAAGUGUUUUCUGUUGAGGUUUUGGUAAAAGUUCUUUGGAAUAGGACAUCAUAGAGGGUGAGAAUCCCGUAUUUGACCUUUACUUUCAACUUUGUGAUACACUUUCAAAGAGUCGGAUUGUUUGGGAAUGCAGCCCAAAAUGGGUGGUAAAUUUCAUCUAAAGCUAAAUAUUGGCGAGAGACCGAUAGCGAACAAGUACCGUGAGGGAAAGAUGAAAAGAACUUUGAAAAGAGAGUUAAACAGUACGUGAAAUUGUCAAAAGGGAAGCGUUUGACACCAGUGUUGUUUUUCUGAAAAUCAAUUAAAGAACUGUUUAUGCUAAGCUGUUUAGACUUUAUCAGCUAUCUGUUUAGUUUUGAGCUUUCCUUUAAUGCACUUUUCAGUUAACAAGUCAACAUCAAUUUCUUUUGCUGUAAAAAAGCUUGAGGAAGGUGGCUUGAGAUUCGUCUUAAGUGUUUAUAGCCUCUUGCCUAUGCAGUCGGAGAGAUUGAGGUCUGCAGCGUAGAUCCUUCGGGGCUAAAUGCAUUUGUGCUAAGUUAUAGCAUUUUAUAGACAACUUGUUGACUAUGAUUUGUCUUGUAGCUUACUCGCUUAUGUUAUUUUACCUACGCUUAGGAUGUUGACGCAUGAGAUAUACGC